UACGUAGGGUGCAAGCGUUAAUCGGAAUUACUGGGCGUAAAGCGUGCGCAGGCGGUGAUGUAAGACAGUUGUGAAAUCCCCGGGCUCAACCUGGGAACUGCAUUGGUGACUGGCGGGCUAGAGUAUGGCAGAGGGGGGGUAGAAUUCCACGUGUAGCAGUGAAAUGCGUAGAGAGUGUGGAGGAAUACCGAUGGCGAAGGCAGCCCCCUGGGCCAAUACUGACGCUCAUGCA
rnacentral:rRNA from 1 species